GGAUUUUCAAGUGUUCAUCAGUUCAUGAUAACUCUCGGCUCAGCAAUGACAUAUUUUAUUGGAACUGCUGUCACCUGGCGUACAUUGGCCCUUAUAGGAAUAAUUCCAUGUCUAGUACAGCUUGUUGGUUU